GACAGAGGUGCCGAGCGUUAUGCGGAAUCACUGGGCUUAAAGCGUGUGUAGGCGGAUCUGUAAGUACCUUGUUAAAUCCCACGGCUCAACCGUGGAACUGCUUGGUAUACUGCGGGUCUUGAGCCACCUAGGGGCAAGUGGAACAAACGGUGGAGCGGUGAAAUGCGUAGAUAUCGUUUGGAACGCCAAUGGUGAAAACAACUUGCUGGGGGUGUGCUGACGCUGAGACACGAAAGCCAGGGGAGCAAACGGG
rnacentral:rRNA from 1 species